rnacentral:sRNA from 1 species
CUAAGAGCAGAAUUUGACUUAAAUCAUAGCCAUGGCACAGGUUCAGCACAGGGAGCAACUUUUCACGCUUUUCCCUACACACGUUGCUGCCAGCCACUGUGCCUCUGCCCUGACCUGGAGUAGACCAUCUCUAGGGCUGAGACAGGAGUUCAGUCUCCAUGACCCAUUAAGCAAUUAAGAUC